CAAUAGCGUAUAUUAACGUUGUUGCAGUUAAAAAGCUCGUAGUUGGAUUUCUGGAGGGAGCGUCGGCCCGUAUUUACGAGUGCGUGACGUCUCUGUCCAUCCUUGCGGGAAGGCACGGCAUUGAUUUGUUGUGUCGGAUCGCAUCAUUUACUGUGAAAAAAUUAGAGUGUUCAAAGCAGGCUUUCGCUUGAAUACAUUAGCAUGGAAUAAUAAGAUAGGACUUUGGUGCUAUUUUGUUGGUUGAGCCUAAAGUAAUGAUUAAUAGGGAUAGUUGGGGGCAUCUGUAUUGCGUUGUCAGAGGUGAAAUUCUUGGAUUUACGCAAGACAAACAGCUGCGAAAGCGUCUGCCAAGGAUGUUUUCAUUA
rnacentral:rRNA from 1 species